GAGAGUGGCGAACGGGUGAGUAAUGCGUGACCGACCUGCCCCAUACACCGGAAUAGCUCCUGGAAACGGGUGGUAAUGCCGGAUGCUCCAGUUGAUCGCAUGGUCUUCUGGGAAAGCUUUCGCGGUAUGGGAUGGGGUCGCGUCCUAUCAGCUUGACGGCGGGGUAACGGCCCACCGUGGCUUCGACGGGUAGCCGGCCUGAGAGGGCGACCGGCCACAUUGGGACUGAGAUACGGCCCAGACUCCUACGGGAGGCAGCAGUGGGGAAUAUUGCACAAUGGGCGCAAGCCUGAUGCAGCGACGCCGCGUGAGGGAUGGAGGCCUUCGGGUUGUAAACCUCUUUUAUCGGGGAGCAAGCGUGAGUGAGUUUACCCGUUGAAUAAGCACCGGCUAACUACGUGCCAGCAGCCGCGGUAAUACGUAGGGUGCAAGCGUUAUCCGGAAUUAUUGGGCGUAAAGGGCUCGUAGGCGGUUCGUCGCGUCCGGUGUGAAAGUCCAUCGCUUAACGGUGGAUCCGCGCCGGGUACGGGCGGGCUUGAGUGCGGUAGGGGAGACUGGAAUUCCCGGUGUAACGGUGGAAUGUGUAGAUAUCGGGAAGAACACCAAUGGCGAAGGCAGGUCUCUGGGCCGUUACUGACGCUGAGGAGCGAAAGCGUGGGGAGCGAACAGGAUUAGAUACCCUGGUAGUCCACGCCGUAAACGGUGGAUGCUGGAUGUGGGGCCCGUUCCACGGGUUCCGUGUCGGAGCUAACGCGUUAAGCAUCCCGCCUGGGGAGUACGGCCGCAAGGCUAAAACUCAAAGAAAUUGACGGGGGCCCGCACAAGCGGCGGAGCAUGCGGAUUAAUUCGAUGCAACGCGAAGAACCUUACCUGGGCUUGACAUGUUCCCGACGAUCCCAGAGAUGGGGUUUCCCUUCGGGGCGGGUUCACAGGUGGUGCAUGGUCGUCGUCAGCUCGUGU
rnacentral:rRNA from 1 species